GCCGCCGCCGCCGCCGCCGCCGCCGCAGUCCGUGCCCGCUCCGGGCGGACGCCGCACGCCGCCGCCACCGCCGCCGCCGUCCCACCGCCUAAUCAGACCACGGCCGCGGAUCCCGCCGUCCCAUUGCGCGUGCGCCGCUCUCCCGUCGCGUGGAGCCGCCGCCUUCCCAUCGUUCCGAGCCGUCUCGCUAAGCGUUGACCCCACCAUCCCAUCGCGCGGAGGUGCAGCCACGCCGUCGGGGCGAUGGCGGCUUCUCUGCAUUUCGUGGGAAGGUGGAUUUCUGGGAGAUCUUGAGCGGCUUCGACUUCAUCAUUUUAAUCUUGUGGUAUCACAUUGCGUCUUGUUCAGCUCUGUACUGUGGAUGAGGAUCUCUGUCCUUGCCGAGGCUGCAGAUAGGCCGGAGCUGACACCCACAGACGGCCUCUCAGGUAAGUCAGAUAGAUUUGAUUUUGCAAGCUUCUCCAAGCCAAUCCAAUUUGUCAUGCCACAAUCGAAUCCCAUGGUCAUCCACACUAUACCUUGUGGAGUCGAUUUUCUUUAACAGAUUCAUAGCUCCAUAUGGAUGGUGGGUAGAUAACUGCAGCAAUCCUGCAUUCUGGUACCUUGUCCUCUGUUAUAUCUUCGGCCGUUGAUUACACUUAACUGGGUCAGCAAUUUAGGAGGGAAUUUAUUUACUUUUCCUAUCAAUUCAUAAUUCAGACUUUGUUUCUUAGCAGAUAAUUGACAGCUAAUGCAACCAGUUUACCAUACGUGCUGGUAUGAUAUCUCCUGGCAGCAGAAGCACAACAGCGAAUAUUCCCGUGGAAGGCCAUAUUCACUUUGUGCAUUGUUGUGGACGUGUUCGCGGUAGAGGGAUUUGGUAAGGGAGUUCACUGAUGAAAUCUGUGUAAUCAUCAUACAGGUAUUGAUUCCUAAAGUGAAGACUGCCAAAACUUUUUUGCUGUUCAAGGUUACUCUGGUCCAACAAUACCUACUAGAUUUUAUCUCCUUUUGUAUCCAUAAGUUCAUAGUGGUCCUGGAUGAUUUGUCUUUAAGAGUCAAGUUGGUAUUCAUGCUUCAGAGGUUUCAAAACUAUGUAGCCUUCUCAAUAUUUUAUAUGAAGCUUGAUGGCCAUAUUCUUGUAAUCUGUUAUUUGAUGGAAUUGAGCAAUAAGACAAUCAAUUCACAGCAUCUCUUAUUUAUGGGAACUAGCCUGCAUUUAGCAAUAGCAUGCCUUACUUCUACGUGAGUAAUUAUCAGUUUUAUCACAGUCUGCAUUAAAGGAUAGCAUAUCUUCUGCCUAAGUGAUUGACAGUUUUUAUCAACUUUCUAAAGCUUUUCUUUUUACUGAUGGGUCAGUGAGCAAAUCUGAUUAGCUGUGUCAUGCUCAGUUACGUGUGGAUGAGGACAGCACAUUCAGACUUCAUCAACAUGUUAGUUUGGUUCGGAGAUUGAGUUAGUUUAGAGAUCUGGUUGGUUACAAUUGAUAGAGUUUGUUUAGGAUUGUUAAAGGAGUUAAUCAAAAGGAGCCUGAUACAACCGUUCAGUUCCUUGUGUUCUGCCAUCUCAUCGGUACAAGAUACGUCCUCACCACUACUUAUCCAUGAUCUGCUGUGACAAACUGAAUGUUGCCCUGCUUGCUUAUUUUGAUUAAGGUGUCUUUCUACCAGCUAAAUUAUUGUUCGUGGUAGAUCUCAAGUUGUAUUUGGCUACUAGCUAAAUUAUUCUGCCAGCAAUCUAAAUGGACAUCUCAAGUUCUUUAAUUUUUGCAUAAUGGAGUAUUUUGCUACUGGUUAUAUAUCUUGAUGUUUUAUACUCUGUACUCCAUUUCUAUGAGUGAAAGAGUCAAAUUGAUAUGUAUGCAGGUGGUGGCUCUGAAAGAAUGCGUGCCUAGGCUGGGAGAUUCAAUUUGUUCAUAUGCUCAUAGUACAAAGCUGAAUAGUCAUAUGCUCAUAGUCGAGUAUUUUAUCAAAUUUGCAAGUAAAUUAACAUUCGAAUUCAUGUGGACCUGUUUGAGUUUAGCUGGAAUACUGGACGCUUCAAAGGGGACCGUAGGGAGAGCUGCCGCUGCGAUGCAGAUAAAGAAGCUCACUUGCAACGGUAACUAAACUAUAUCCAGAAGCUCACUUGCAGAUAAAGAAGCUCACUUGUUUGAGUUUAGCUGGAAUGCUGGACCCUUCAAAGGGGACCCUAGGGAGAGCUGCCGCUGCGAUGCAGAUAAAGAAGCUCACUUGCAAUCACUGUUCAAGUAGGCGCUAGGCGGUUUCUAGGCGGCGGGUCACCGCCUAGAGCCUAGGCGAGCCUAGGCGUUUCAAGGCGAUUUGCUAGGCGGUAGCACGUACGCACAUAUACAUGUAUAACUUGUUAUAUACAUACAUAUAUUUCUAAAAGAAAAAGAAAAAUAAGCAGCCAAUGGGUCUAAUU